UUUAUCGUGAGGUGAAGACUGAAGGAAGCCUGAUGAGCAAAGUACUGCACCGAUGAACAAGAAGCAGCUAUAAGGCCGGAAGUAACUGGAUAAGGUGGCCAAACACACUGAAGUCCAAUACUACCCGAAGUUACGACAGUAAAGCUGACGGUGACAUGGUACGAAAGUUGACGUU
rfam:Lactobacillus coryniformis subsp. coryniformis CECT 5711 COR000053, whole genome shotgun sequence.